rnacentral:rRNA from 1 species
UACAGAGGGGGCAAGCGUUAUUCGGGAUUAUUGGGCGUAAAGGGCGCGUAGGCGGCCAUUCAAGUGACGGGUGAAAGCCCUCGGCUUAACCGAGGAACUGCCUGUCAGACUGGAUGGCUUGAGACCGGGAGAGGUGAGUGGAAUUCCCAGUGUAGCGGUGAAAUGCGUAGAUAUUGGGAGGAACACCAGUGGCGAAGGCGGCUCACUGGACCGGAACUGACGCUGAGGCGCGAAAGCGUGGGGAGCAAACAGG